UUGUGGGACGCGCUGGUUGGAAAACACAACGAUGGUGCGAGCUGGCUGGGCGUUUCUGGACAUUUGGAAAUUUUAGAAUCUCCCGCGAGAGAGUCGUCUUCGCAUGCGACUGGGGCUAGAGUGGCGUGGAGCUUCAGGAUGCAGAAGUACUCCCCAGUGUGACCUAUGAGACCAGUAAAGGCUCCCUAUUGUGACAUCUGAAGAAGACUCUGACACUUGCUGAUGCAGCCUGGAAUGAGGGUCAAAGACACUGCCAGGCUGUAGGGAGAUAAGAACCACACACCAGGACUCCAGACACUUCCUGAAAGACUCUGCAUCCAGCAAAUUAACCGUCUUUCUUAAUGCCCCAUCCACCUCGCCUAGACUUUCUCUUCUGCUCAGAGCACAUUCCUGAGUUGACUGCAAGUUGAUCAGCAAAAGGCGAGAAUGCAGGGCAGGACCAAGAGGUGCUUAGCAUCGGCAGAGUACCCUGAAAGUGGAUGCUGGUGGUCCUUCUGCAACUGUUGCGAAUAACCCCAGAGCCCAGGAUGCAGCCUCUCACUGCCCCUCCCGACAGGGGCCAUGUGUAAGCAUCUUUCCAAUGGAAGAAGCAGGUCAUGAUUUGAGAAGAGACCAGAUCUUUUCUUUGCUUUUGUCAUCUGGGUGACUGUAAGCUUUACAGACCUCUCCAUGACACCCCAAGACCUGAACAUGAAGGAAGCAGAUUCUGUUUUGCAGAUGGAGGAUCUGGGGCAAAAGAGGAAGAACAUUCUGCCUGGUUCCUUGCAGCAGGAGGAAAGAAAAAAUUUUCCAAGUGCCUUUUGUGUGCCAGGAACUGUGCUAUGAAUUUCAUGCUCCAUACUAUUACUAGUUCACAACUGUGGAACACUUCCUAUAUGUCAGGAACACUUUCUGUAUAUCCAUAUGGCUAUGGGACACUUUGUAUGUGUCACUUUUAUAUACAUCAUCUCAUUUAAUCCACUCAACAACCUUAUUUGAUAAGUACCAUUACCGCCUCCACAACUGAAGUUUAUAAUAUUUGAGUGACUUGCUGAAGGUCACACAGCUACCACAUGACAGAGAGGGACUUCAAACCCAGGGAUGCCAGCCCCAAAGUCCCAAUUCUUUGCAUUACACCACCUCACGUACUGUGCUUGACCCCCUAGUCCGCUGUUUCUAUUUCCUGAAACCCAUCUAACACAAGAGAGAGCAGAGGCUGGUAUUUUAAAGGAAUGAGUAUUUUCCACUACUCUUUUCCCUGGAAACAACCCUGUAUAUCAACUAAUAUUCUACAUUUUCUGAGCUUCAACUUCAUCCCAGGCGCUGUGCUAGAUGCCGCCACAUUAUGUUACAUGAGAGAUGAUAUAGAAUUUUGGGAACAGCCAAUACAUGACCCCACACUUAGCAGACAUGCCUAAUUAAUCAGGACACUCAUUCUGGGUGAGUCUAAAUGCAGCCUCAGAGUCUUUCCCAACACAGAGGUGCAAGAAACUGCUGAAAUCAACCAGCAUCAGCACACACUAGAUGAAGCCUAUUGGCCCUUCCUGCUGCAGAAUUCCACCGGCAGAAAUGACAGUGACAUGGCCACAAGGAAUAAUGGGAUGGAAUCGUUUGAGCAGAAGUUCUGAGAUCAAAGCCUUGUUCUACUCAAAGUCUUGUUCACUAGCUGGGCACCAGCAAGUAAAUUAAACUCUCUGAGCCUGAUUGUCUUCUUCAUCCAAAAUGGUGAUGAUAAUCAGAUCUCAUCUAUGUCACAGGAUGGUUGGAUGCAGAAUUGUUGGUGACAGUGAGAAGCAAGAGACCAUAAGACCAAAAGUCUGGAGUAAGGGUACUGGCAAGAGACAAGACAAUGAGAGAACACAGAAUAUAGAUUUUUGCCUGGGAAAUAGUCUCAGAUUUUCUACAAAGGGGUUGUGUUGGAGGUGGGGUGACUUCAAGGUCUUAAUGCCCUGUGUUACACCACAGGGUUUAUUAUGGUUAAUGGUGGUGGCUUCAUGAGUAAGUGAUGGGGCUAAGCCAUGGCCCUAGAGCUACCCAAGCAAGACAGCAUGGCAGAAACAGGUAGGCUGGGAGCUCCUGGUGUGAUCACACACCAGCUGUGUGAUCUUGGGCAAGUCCUUUAACCUCUCUGAGGAUCAGUUCCAUCCCCUGAGAAAUGAAGACAAUGAUCUGCUUCAUGGUAAAGAUGAAACAAGAUAGUUCCAGACACAUAGUGGGCAAUUUUCCAUCAUGGUACAGGGAGGAGCUGACAGCAGGCUCUGCACGUAUCCUUUGCACUGAGAUCACGCAACAUGGCAGCUGGCACAAAGUAGGUGCUCAUCAGCAUUUACGGGUUCGUUGUUUGGUUGAUUGGGUACCACUUAGGAAGUCACUGAAAGGCUUUAAGCAGAGGAAGAACAUGAUGGGUUUUAAAAUUUUGAGGACAUCACUCUAUCUGCUUUGGGGAGAAGAGGGUAGGGGGACAGGCAUGGGAGUAGGAAGUCCAUUUUGUUGCCCUCCUCCAGGACAGGGACCACGUGGACAGGAGGUCCGGAUUCAGUGGAAGAACAGGGUCCUGAGCAAGUGGAAGGGCUGGAGACUGGGACAUUCAGAACUAAGAUUUCUGAUGAGGUGCUUUUUCUGGUGGUGACAAGAUGCAGGGUGUAAGCAAGGCAGAGUUGGCUAAGAUGCCAUGUGAUAAAAAGGCUGGUGAUGAUUGGAAGCUGGAGAAAUUGAGAAGCUGGAAUGUGGAUGUGUCACUCUUCAUGGACAGUCUCUCAUUUCCUUCUCAAAGCAAAGCUGCUGCGUCGGCACGAUUGCCCUCCUUUAACAGACGAUGAAGGAGAGACUUAAAACAUUCACAAGCAUAUACUAAACUGGGGGGAUGUGGGAAUUCAGGCACUUGUUUAUAGACUCAAUAACUGCAAAGGAUUUAUGGUUUGUGAAAGACUUGCACUGUGGAAAAGAUAAUAAAUUGAAGACAUUAUUGUGUGGAACUGUGCUGAUUUUUGUUGAUAACACUCCACUAAGAACACUAUAUGUUUUCUGGAGAGCUGUGGAAG